CGCGUAGGCGGUCUGCUAAGUUGGAUGUGAAAACUCUGGGCUUAACCCAGAGCCUGCAUUCAAUACUGACAGGCUAGAGUUCUGGAGGGGAUAGCGGAAUUCCUGGUGUAGCGGUGAAAUGCGUAGAUAUCAGGAGGAACACCGGUGGCGAAGGCGGGUUGCUGGGCCGACACUGACGCUGAAGUGCGAAAGCUAGGGGAGCGAACG
rnacentral:rRNA from 1 species